ACUCCACGGACGCGCCUGAGCCAGUGAGCACCCAAAAACAGGUUCUCCCUCUUCCUUCUUCCUCAGUUCCUCUCAUUUCUUUCCUUUUUUCUUCCAACCUCCGUCCUUCUCCUCCUUUCCUCUUCUUCUUUUACUGUGCGCCUGCCUGCCCCUGUAAAACUAAAAUCGACUCUCCCUCCAUCCUCUCUUUUCUUCAAGCCGAAGUCAUCAGUUGCCGUUGGGGCGCGGACGAUGACGUUCGGCAGCGCUGUUUCCAUGAACGCCGCCACCGAGAGCUUUGGUGGCGCCACCAAUUCUUCUCCACCAUCCACCGUUGACUAUGAAGAUCCUACAUACAUCGUCAGCUAUGGGGAACCACUUUGAUUAAGAUUCAGACUUCGUAUUGAAAUUUGUGAUCAAUUUAUAUGAGGUUAUUAUAAUUCAUGUGGAAGAGAAUUAUCAGAGGCAAAUGGAUAUAGACUUCCUCCACCAGAGAUCAGAAAUAUUGUUGAUGCUCCUCCCCUUCCAACACUAUCAUUUUCACCUGGUAGGGAUAAAAUACUCUUCCUAAAAAAGGAGAUCAUUGCCUCCUCUGGAAGAAUUGGCAAGGCCUGAGGAGAAGCUUGCUGGAAUUCGCAUUGAUCCCAGAUGUAAUUCCCGGACUCGAAUGUCAUAUUAUACAGGGAUUGGAAUCUAUCGGAUAAUGGAGGACUGUACAUUGGGACCUGAAAAAGAAGUACAUGGUCUUCCAAGUGGUGCAAAAAUCAAUUUUGUUUCGUGGGAACCCUUGAACUGAAGGAUGCCAGCCUAUAAGAUUGUGGAUAGCAGAUGUUGAGACUGGAAAAGCAAGACCCCUUUUUCAGGCUCCAGACAUUUUUAUAAAUGCAGUUUUUGAAAACUUUGUGUGUGGUUAACAACUCAACACUGUUGGUUUGUACUAUUUCUCUAUCUCGAGGAGAUCCUCCAAAGAAACCUAUGAUUCCUUCUGGUCCUAAAAUUCAAUCUAAUGAACAGAAGGAGGUCAUUCAAACAAGAACAUUUCAAGAUCUUCUCAAAGAUGAUGUGCCUUAUGACUAUGUUAUAACUUUAUAAGAUUUAAUCUUAUUUAUAUUUUCUCAUAAUUCCGAACUAUAUUUAAGAUUUUUGAUAAUGUACUUUCAAUUGUAGAUGUCGCAAGGAUCCAAUGAAGAACAACGAAGCCAGAACAUCCGCCAUCUGGCAAGGUCACAAAUGUUGUUGUGGCAGGCGGAAACGUAAAAGGAGCAACAUGAGCCGAGACUUUAUGAGACCCAAGUAGGAGAAGGGUCAGGUACGUCUGCAGAUGCUACAUCGGCCAAGAAUACACAGACUACUACAUCACGUAAGUAAAUUCAUAACUAUUCAUUGUGUAUUCUAAUCAAUGCAGAAGUACAUCAGGUGGGAUCCGGCUCAUAAGGAAAAGGUCUUAAAGAAACUUAAUACUAGGGCACAAGAGGCCUAUAACAAGUGGAUGAGUGAUAUUCGAGGUGGGCGGGAUAUACUAGGACAUUGGAGAUGGAGUUUAUUUUGUAUUACAUGGUACUUACUAUUUGGAUGGUUAAAAUGAUUUCUUAUAAUGUUAGUUUGUGCUUGCUUGA